rnacentral:misc_RNA from 1 species
GAUGAAGAACGCAGCGAAAUGCGAUACUUAGUGUGAAUUGCAGAAUCCCGUGAACCAUCGAGUCUUUGAACGCAAGUUGCGCCCGAAGCCACUAGGCCGAGGGCACGCCUGCCUAGGCGUCACACGCCGUUGCCCCCCCAUCUACUCCUUCGGGAUUGCGGGGGGGCGGAUGAUGGCCUCCCGUGCGCCUAGCCGCGCGGUUGGCAUAAAUACCAAGUCCUCGGCGACGCACGCCACGACAAUCGGUGGUUGCGAAACCUCGGUUGCCCGUCGUGUGCGUUCGUCGCGCAUCGAGGGCUCGAAAAAAUGCUCGGCUCCGGCUGGGCUUUCAACGCGACCCCAGGUCAGGCGGGGUUACCCGCUGAAUUUAAGCAUAUCAAUAAGCGGAGGA